rnacentral:tRNA from 1 species
GUGGGUACAGGUCAGUGGUAGAGCGUGUGUUUAGCAUGCACAAGGUCCUGGGUUCAAUCCCCAGUACCAUCA